ACAAUCAACUGGGAACUAAAGUUGGAAACUGUACAGAAAGUGCUAAUUAAAUAAAAUGUUACAUUUCUGUAACUCAGUUAGUGAGAUUUUCACAUUACCUUUUUUUUCCUAAGCUAUCUUGAUAAUUAAUGAAUAGAGCAGCACUCCUGCUCUUCCUCCCAUAUGUUUACUCAAACAGCAAAGUUGCCUCCUUUUAAGGAAUAGACUUCCCUUCACUGAAGUGCCCUCACUGGUGCCAGGACAACAUUUCACUUCCACUUAACUAUUUAUUUCCAAUACACGCUCAUAAAAGAACGCUUCAACUUCCCACAAUGAGUCUGCAGAAAAUUAUUUAAUAACUUCUUUGGGGAGGGAGAACGGGAGGAUUGCUGGAAAGCAACUUGCAACUCUCACCCCAAUCCCAUGUACACGGUUUGUAUUUUUACCAGCCAUAGCUGGAUGUGUGUGCAUAUAAAGUACAUGUAAGUGUGGGUAUGGAUCUCUUCGCCUGUGCCCGUGUUUGCGAGUGGCAGGUUUUUGUGUGUGCUUGAGUAAGAAAGGAAGACAGAACUUGNACAAUUCCACGUAUUACUGCAGUGCAAAUGCUAACUAAGCGAGUGAUGGAAGACGCACCUCGUUUCCCUCCGUCCAUUGCUUCCCCGCUUCCCAAGAUACAAAGAAGAAAGAAACGCGAGAAGGCAAAGGAACAGCCAAUGCGACAGCAAAGGAUCCUUUUCCUCCUCACACAGACUGACAUAGUUUCUGGACAUAAAAACCCACUUCGUGCUCCCACGCAAAGCCGUCGCGGCGUUUCCUAAGCCACUUCAUAAAGAGGCGAGUCAGGAGUCAGCUGUCAGCCAGUAGUCGCUGCCCCCCCCCCGUCCCGCCUGGGCGAUGCCAAAGAAGGCAAGCAGACUCUCGGCUGAGGAACUAGCUCAGGCCCGCUGGUCAAACGCCAGACGAGGAAUCCCCAGCCGCAGCCAACUAGCCAAACAUCAACCGCCGCCAUUUGUUUACUUGUCAGCCGGCAUGAGCGGCCACCGCAACUCCGUCCAGCCCAUCGACAGAGCCCUCCACCCCCGGCGGCGGCAGCGCGCCUCCUCGCCUUGCCUUCGGGGUCGCCCUGUAAAACUCACCCUUACCCUCGCUCCCCUACUCUCCUGGUGAGCGUCCAAGGCANCUUGAGGAGCGAAAGAGAGUCGCCGCCGCAGACACAAGCAGGCAGUCCCGCCCCUCUUAACAUUCGAUCCGGUUCCGGGAGGGCAACCGACAACUCCAAGUCGUGGCUCGCAGCGUUGCUUUCCGGCUCUCUUUUUCUCAAGAAGAUUCUUUCUUUCCUUGUUCCAUGCAGCGGCGGACUGAUGGGGAAACGACUUGUCGUAAAGGAGGGCGUGGCCAGGAGCCUGCGACAAUGGCGUAAAGAUAUCGAAGGCGCAGAAUUGUCUUUCUCGUCGGGACGCGAGAUAGAAAUUUAUAGAGCGACAGGAAACCUGAAAAGCUUGCAGAAAUGUUGGUUCGUUUGUUACAACAAACGGGGCUUAAAAUAAAAUGCUGCAGUAUGGAGUAACUACUGCUGAGCAUGCCUGUAUACCAGAAUCUGAAAGGAACACACCAAUGAAAUCAGAGUACUUACGAAUAUUGGAGGGUUCUUUGAUAAGAAGAAUGUACUUGGGAUUUCUACUUCAAUCAAGUCCUUGGUACAUAUGAUGGUUUCAUUGAUUUCUGUACACAUAAUCAAAAUAACUGUUUACCAUCAUAUAGAACAGAUGUACAAAAAAUCAAUCCUAACCACAGAAGCCUAGUUCAUUGCACUUAAGAAAANGUUAACCGAUUCUGCAGUUUGCGUGAACAUACAGGCUUAUCGUUAUUAUUCUGACUUAAGAGAAUUUGCUUGAUAAUUAUAUUUAUUUAUUGAAAACUGUUUUGAGACAUUACCCAUGCAAUCCAGGAAUUGCUUCACUGGAGCACGCAGUGCAACAUCUGGACAUGUUGGCACAGCCAAGUUUUUGCCGUGAUGCUUGCUGUUAUUGUCAUGGGGGAGGCUGCUUAACUUUGAAUGCUUACUGACACCAGUGCAAAUUGAUGGAAUUUCCAUCAGGAACUUCAUAACUAGCAGCUGGGCUACAGAUGCUCCCAGAAUGGAAAAAGGCAAGAGUGCAGCAUCAGGAGUUAAUUUAUAUGUCAUUAUCUUGUUACCAAUAAUAAACAUUGUUGAAUAUUUUCCUGCA
rnacentral:lncRNA from 1 species